rnacentral:piRNA from 1 species
GGAAUUAUCAAAUUCUGCCAGCACCAAU